GGGGAAGGGUAGCUUGUUACCUGACCUAGCGGCCGACGGGUGAGUAAUGCUUAGGAAUCUGCCUAUUAGUGGGGGACAACAUUCCGAAAGGAAUGCUAAUACCGCAUACGCCCUACGGGGGAAAGCAGGGGAUCUUCGGACCUUGCGCUAAUAGAUGAGCCUAAGUCAGAUUAGCUAGUUGGUGGGGUAAAGGCCUACCAAGGCGACGAUCUGUACCGGGUCUGAGAGGAUGAUCCCCCACACUGGGACUGAGACACGGCCCAGACUCCUACGGGAGGCAGCAGUGGGGAAUAUUGGACAAUGGGCGAAAGCCUGAUCCAGCCAUGCCGUGUGUGUGAAGAAGGCCUCUUGGUUGUAAAGCACUUUAAGCGAGGAGGAGGCCACUGAGAUUAAUACUCUUGGAUAGUGGACCAUACUCGCAACAAUAACCACCUGGCUAACUCUGUUCCAGCCAGCCCGCGGUAACACAGAGGGUUGCGAGCGUCAAUUCUCCAUUUACC
rnacentral:rRNA from 1 species